rnacentral:lncRNA from 1 species
UAGGACCUCACAUUUCUGGCUAAGAGGCCCUAAUUUGGUGACUGAAUUGCUAUUGAAGAAAUGCCUAGAAAGAAACUAACAUAUAUGAUUUCUAUUAUCAAUAUUGAAAUGUGCAUUUGAAGACCAAUAAAGGUGAAGAUGGAAAAUGCCCAAAUGAGACAGACAUAAUGAUGAGACUUUCUUAAGAAAUGUGCUACAUUGUUUUGAAUUAGCCCCAAAGAGAAACACUGAUUGUGUUUUCUAUUGUAAGAGAAAUUAUCAAUUUUGUACUACAUGUAGGACUUUUGGAAAUGUAUGCUAUUAUUCUGUUCAGCAUUGUAAAGAUAACACUUAGGCAUAAUUUUUUAGGUUACUUAUUGCUUUCUAAUUUGAUUUAUAUCUGUUCUUUCCUGCUUUUAGUCAUGUGUGUUAGUUGUGUCAUGUAUUUAAUGUACCUGAAUGGCGUCUUUAUAUUUUAUUUAAAUUAAGGAUUUAGUUAAAUAUUACUGAUGUAACUUGCAGCCUCAUGUAUACAUAAUACUUCUUUAGAAGUUUAAAAAUGUAUUAUUUUAAGGAAUAUAUUGAUUUUUUAAAAAUAAACAAGAUGGAAUACAAGUUAAAUAUUAAUAAAGAAUGUAGUAAUGAAUAUAAAUGAUUAUUAUAUUUUCCAUAAUUGAACAGAAUUAAAAUACAUAAUUAUUUAUAUGAUUUAUAUUAUUUAGAUUAUGUAAAUUAAAAUGAUUUUGAUAUGGUUCUGUAUACAAUUUAGGAUAGACUAAAUUUUCACAAAAUUCCCAGGUGAUUUCCAGUUGACUCUGUGAUUUUAACUCGAAUAUUUCUCAUAAUUCUAUGCCUAGAACUGUGCCAGGUAACUAGUACUAAUAAACACUAUUAAUUGAGGGCAUACUACUUAACCACACUUCUGUUCAGUGCUUUGUAAAAAGCAUAUUAUUUUGAUGUAGCUCAACCAAUGUUUGUUUAAAAAAUUAAUCUCAUUUUUG